GACGAACGCUGGCGGCGUGCUUAACACAUGCAAGUCGAACGAUGAAGCCUAGCUUGCUAGGUGGAUUAGUGGCGAACGGGUGAGUAAUACGUGAGUAACCUACCUUUAACUCUGGGAUAAGCCUGGGAAACUGGGUCUAAUACCGGAUACGACCAAUCUCCGCAUGGGGUGUUGGUGGAAAGCGUUAUGUAGUGGUUAUAGAUGGGCUCACGGCCUAUCAGCUUGUUGGUGAGGUAACGGCUCACCAAGGCGACGACGGGUAGCCGGCCUGAGAGGGUGACCGGCCACACUGGGACUGAGACACGGCCCAGACUCCUACGGGAGGCAGCAGUGGGGAAUAUUGCACAAUGGGCGCAAGCCUGAUGCAGCGACGCCGCGUGAGGGAUGACGGCCUUCCGGUUGUAAACCUCUGUUAGCAGGGAAGAAGAAAGAUUGACCGUACCUGCAGAGAAAGCGCCGGCUAACUACGUGCCAGCAGCCGCGGUAAUACGUAGGGCGCGAGCGUUGUCCGGAAUUAUUGGGCGUAAAGAGCUUGUAGGCGGUUUGUCGCGUCUGCUGUGAAGGCCGGGGCUUUACUCCGUGUAUUGCAGUGGGUACGGGCAGACUAGAGUGCAGUAAGGGAGACUGGAAUUCCUGGUGUAGCGGUGGAAUGCGCAGAUAUCAGGAGGAACACCGAUGGCGAAGGCAGGUCUCUGGGCUGUAACUGACGCUGAGAAGCGAAAGCAUGGGGAGCGAACAGGAUUAGAUACCCUGGUAGUCCAUGCCGUAAACGUUGGGCACUAGGUGUGGGGAACAUUCCACGUUUUCCGCGCCGUAGCUAACGCAUUAAGUGCCCCGCCUGGGGAGUACGGCCGCAAGGCUAAAACUCAAAGAAAUUGACGGGGGCCCGCACAAGCGGCGGAGCAUGCGGAUUAAUUCGAUGCAACGCGAAGAACCUUACCAAGGCUUGACAUAUACUGGACCGCAUCAGAGAUGGUGUUUCCCUUCGGGGCUGGUAUACAGGUGGUGCAUGGUUGUCGUCAGCUCGUGUCGUGAGAUGUUGGGUUAAGUCCCGCAACGAGCGCAACCCUCGUUCUAUGUUGCCAGCACGUAAUGGUGGGGACUCAUAGGAGACUGCCGGGGUCAACUCGGAGGAAGGUGGGGAUGACGUCAAAUCAUCAUGCCCCUUAUGUCUUGGGCUUCACGCAUGCUACAAUGGCCGGUACAGAGGGUUGCGAUACUGUGAGGUGGAGCUAAUCCCUAAAAGCCGGUCUCAGUUCGGAUUGGGGUCUGCAACUCGACCCCAUGAAGUCGGAGUCGCUAGUAAUCGCAGAUCAGCAACGCUGCGGUGAAUACGUUCCCGGGCCU
rnacentral:rRNA from 1 species